CCUACGGGAGGCAGCAGUGGGGAAUCUUGCGCAAUGGGCGAAAGCCUGACGCAGCCAUGCCGCGUGAAUGAUGAAGGUCUUAGGAUUGUAAAAUUCUUUCACCGGGGGACGAUAAUGACGGUACCCGGAGAAGAAGCCCCGGCUAACUUCGUGCCAGCAGCCGCGGUAAUACGAAGGGGGGCUAGCGUUGCUCGGAAUUACUGGGCGUAAAGGGAGCGUAGGCGGAUAGUUUAGUCAGAGGUGAAAGCCCAGGGCUCAACCUUGGAAUUGCCUUUGAUACUGGCUAUCUUGAGUGUGGGAGAGGUUAGCGGAACUCCGAGUGUAGAGGUGAAAUUCGUAGAUAUUCGGAAGAACACCAGUGGCGAAGGCGGCUAACUGGCCCAUUACUGACGCUGAGGCUCGAAAGCGUGGGGAGCAAACAGGAUUAGAUACCCUGGUAGUCCACGCCGUAAACGAUGAGUGCUAGUUGUCGGCAUGCAUGCAUGUCGGUGACGCAGCUAACGCAUUAAGCACUCCGCCUGGGGAGUACGGUCGCAAGAUUAAAACUCAAAGGAAUUGACGGCUGAGACGNGCGAGACGACGACGAGGGAGAGG
rnacentral:rRNA from 1 species